GAGCCCUUUGUUGAAACCCAUAUCCAAGCACCUGUGGCCGUGUUGGUGAUGGGUAUCCUGAAAAAGGGGUUUUGUAAUUAUGUCACUGGGAUGGUUAAUUCUUAUGUGCUGAAUAAAUCAGAAUAGACAGAUGAACAAAUCCUAACUGAAAAUGGAACUAGAAUGUCCAUUCUUGGAUCAGCGAAAGUUUCCUUGUCCACCUCCCUUGGUAUAUUUAUGCUUAGAAAUGU
rnacentral:lncRNA from 1 species